AUAUAUAACUUAAAACGCUUUAAAGUCUUAUUUAAUGUGUAUGCUAUGUCUGCAUGUCUGUGCAUCAUGUGUGUGCAUGUGUGCAUCAUGUGUGUGCCUGUGGAGACUAUAAUUGGGCAUCAGAUUCUGUGAGCUGCCACAUGAGUGCUGGGAAUUGAGCCCAGAUCAACUGGAAGAGCAGCUGGUGUUCUUUUUAUUUAAUAUGUGAAGUUGGGCUUAUAUUUGGGAUUGUUCAAUAGCAGCAAAAAAAAAAGAAAAAAAAUUCUGAUAGAUACAUAGUGAAUGGAUGAGCCCAAAUAUGCUUUGUAUCUGAGGGAUGAGUAUUUAUUAUCAGUUAGCCAUGCUUAAUGAAUAUCAAAAUGUGCCCCUUUUAUCCUUUGUGAGUAUCCCUGUGGGGGUAAACUUCUAGAAAUGAAACUGGUAGAUUAAAAGGUAUAUCCAUAAAAAAGGAAGAUAGAGAAUUAUUAUUAUUAAUUUAUUUAUUUUUAAAGUAAAGGUAUUCUUCAGCAAAUAGCCAGAUACUCUCCUAGAGAAGUUCCUUACUGCCUAUGAGUAUGAAGCUUACAAUCAUUGUCACUACAGAGUACAAAUAGGGAUCAAUUAAAUUCACAUAGUGUUACAAACUUGAUCAAGGGCAAAUAAGAACAUGACUGAUCCUUUGUGCCAAUAUUUACUUACAGCAGUCAAGAGUGUAGGAGGCUAAGAGGGGUAACCAACAGGAAUAUGGGCAGGCAGACUGAUGUUAUGUAGGUAAUUAGUUUAGGAUUUACAUGAUGAAAUUCAAACAACAAAGAACAUGACCAGAUGAAGGACAUCGAAUCACCAUCCAAAGGAAACUGCGUAGGAAAAGUGGUGAGUUGAGAAAUACCCAUUUAUCUCUAAACCCUCAAGACUUACAGGGAAGUGGGUGUGCCCUGAAGAUUAGAUGAAUUCCUAACGUUUUUAAAGCCUGUGAGUCACUGUUAGGGAAUAAACAGGCACUUUAUAUUUGAUGUUUCUUAGUUCUCCUUUAUUAUUUCUUUUACCUUUGACUGAGGAAAAUGUCAUAAAAACAGUUCGUUUUUUUCCCCCAUAUUGAAAAUCAGAAGGCAUAUGAGCCAUUUCUAUGGAAACCACCCAAAGCUAUCUCAGAUCUCCUGUUUUCUACAGUGGCUCUCCAAAUGAGUGAGGUGGAGUGGAGUAUUGGUCCAUCACAUUUCUGCCUUUCUGGUAGCAAAUAAAUCUUCUUACUGUUAGAAUCAAACUUCCACUUUCAAAAUUAUCUUUAUAAAAAUGUCAGAUCACAUAGAAUUAAAAAGCAAAAGGCUUCCAGUGUCUAUGAAGAGUAAGUGAAUCAGUGAUGGAAAAUCAGGAAGUGCUGUAUGGCUGAUAACUUGCUUAUAAGCUGCACCACACACCAUGCAUGUACCAGGAAAACAGUGUGGCUGUGGCUGCCCUAGACCGUAUGGUCACUUCUCAGAAUAACCUCGGUGUAUUAUCUCCAGUGGCAUGCUAGCUUAAUUGAUGCAAUUCAAAGUGUCCCUCAAAGACACCACAGGGUGAUAAAGCUUCAAUGACUUCUAUGUCCAUAAUCAUCUAUUUUGAAAUUCUAAAAACACAUUCAAUACUAAAAACUGUCAUUGUGAAAGGCAGCUGUGUCCAACAGAAUACCACAUUUACAAUUAAUGGCGUUCUAAUUAUUUCUCCCUAAAAUUAUCCAUCAUAUGCUGGCAUACACUGUAUAAGCUAGAAAGCCGUUUAUGAAAAUUGCAUGUAACAUUUCUUGGAAAACCACUGCCCAGAAUGAGACAAGGGUACUUAUUAGCAUAAAAUUAAAUAUGUGAAGAAAUAUCUAAAAGAAUAGGAAGUCAUUAAGAGGAGAGACAGCUUGAAUUAUAAAUUCUGAUUUAAGACUUUCCAGGAACAAACUCAGGCACGAGAGCAGUUUAGAAACAUUAAAGGACAGGAGAGGGGGCUCCCCUAAGAUCAGAACAGGAUGGGACAGGCGGCCUCACAUCAUCUUAUGCUAAGGUGGAAAUGAUCAUUUCUGUGUUGGUUUUCAGUAGGUUAAGGAGAUGUAAAGGGCUUUGUUGUUUUGUAGUGAAGCUAUUUAAGUUUUGCCAUUCACUGAGUAUGCUUACUGUCUGCUUGUUUUCUGCCAGAGAUCUGGCAAGAGCUACAUGCAGAAAAGGGAAUCACCCGAAGUGUGCUACAUGUACUUGUCAUAAAGUCUCAACCAUAACAUUUCCACUUAGGUUGCCAUGUCUGUCAAAAGUGAACUGUAACAGUAUAGAAAUGAUCAGUAAGUCAAUAGACUUCCCUUAGCCUCUCCCAAACAAGACCUCAAAACUUGACUGAGUUUACAAAGUUUGCAGUAGAUGACUAGCAUCUAUCCCACAGGCGACUCAGAAGUCUUUCUUCUCUCUGUAGCUCCUGUGUUCUGAACUGGUAAGGUACUUGAAAAGACUCACUUCCUACUCAGCUGUCCUACACCUUUCUAGCGUUUACAGCAGUGUUCUGAUGAUGCUAAGUCUGCAUGGAUAUGAGUGCCCUGGUUAUGUACUUAGUCACCUGUCCGUGUAUGAGCUGUGUAGAAAGGCACAGUAAAGGUUGAAGUCAGCUCUCAGAGAAAAGUCUUCCCUGCACUGCAGCAGAGCCCAAGUUAUUCCCUAGAAGGAAAUGCAUGGCUGGAAGAAGUUUCUUUGCUGCAGCAUUCUUGGAGGCUGAUGGCUGUUGUUUUCCCUCUGUGUGUACUCAUGGUUAUUUAGAUGUUAAAUAGGCAAAGGGAAUUCUGAAGUCAAGUUUUAGAUAAGAAGACAAGGAGUUUUGACUCUGCCUAAAGAUUUUGAAGAUGAAAUCUUUGUUCUUAGCUGCUACCUAAUUUCCGACACGAGAAUUUGCAGUUGGGAUGACCUGUGAAUAUAUACACACACUGACUACUUUGGUUGUAAAACAGACAUUUUGAUGACUGUUUUUUAUGUGUUACUGCAGUUAACUGUUUUCAGACUUUGGGAAACUCCACUCCCAGCAACAGCCAUAUAUUGUGUUUGGUGACACGGUUUCUUGACAGUGUAAUAUAUAUUCUGAAAUAAUUUUAAGCUAUCUACAGGUCUUCACAAUGAAUGACUGAGAGAUUUGUUCAAAGCAAUGUGCUCAACAUUCUUGUGGUUGGAAAACUAGGGGGAAAUGAAUGUAUUGUUUAAAAGCCUGUAUGAUGAAAUAGAUUAUAUCUCAGACUUAGCGUCUCUAAAAAAUAGACUAAAUUCCAACUCUUUUGCUUGCUUUUGUGCUUUGAAGCAGUGCCCUGCUUUGUAGCUAAGAGUGGGUUGAGCUCUUAAUCGUCCUUUCUCAGUUACCCUCCCAAAUUCUGGGAUUAUAGGCAUUUGCCACCUCACCCAGCAAAAUUCUACCUCACAGAUACUAACUACUCACAUUUAAAUGCUCUGAAGAAAUAGUGUUGUUUUUAACUUCUGACUAUAUAUAGUAUGACUGCAGCAUAACAUUUUUUUUUUAUCAAUUGAAUACAAAUAGUAAAACUAUCUUAAAUUAGCUGCCUGUUCUAGGUGAAACUAUUUUAAUAUAUAAUUUUCAUAUAAACAUGUAACAAUAAUAUGAAAUUUUUCCUCAAGAAAAAAAUAUAUAAAUAAGAGAAUGAACCAUGAGGAAAGGACUUUUUGUUUUAGAUUUUGUUUAUAAAAUAGUGGUAUUUGAAUUUGUCUAAAAAUGUAGCAGAGAAGUGGUGGCCUUUAAUCUCAAUACUCAGGAGGCAGAGGCAGGCAGAUCUCUGUGAGUCCAAGGCCAACCUGGUCUACAGGAUGAGUUCUAGGACAACCAGGGCUACAAAGAGAAACUGUCUCAACAAACAAAAUAGAGUAGAAAGAUUGGCUAAAACAUAGAGCUCUAUAUAGAAUGUCUGUAGAAUGAAGGCACACAACAGAGGACCAUCAGGCACAUGUAUGGCAUGGUCACAGAAUUUGGGAGGACAGGAAAUAAGGAGGGUUUUUUGUUUUUUUGUUUUUGUUUUUAAAGAUAUCCUUGUCUGAGCCAAAGUGACCAGUAAUUUCUCUUGGCAUUUAUUUCUACAUUUCUAAGAAAUAGCUAAUUCCUAAAUGGUCAGUUUUAUUUCUUGUCUGAUACCCUCUUUAGAUAGAUGAAGAUCUCACCUUGUGGGGAUACAGCUCAGGGGUAGAGUACUUUGCCUAACCUGUGACAGGCCUUUGGUUCUGUCCCCAGCACCAGAUUUCAAAACAAAACAAAAC
rnacentral:lncRNA from 1 species